GGGAUUGCCCUAGUAACGGCGAGUGAAGCGGCAACAGCUCAAAUUUGAAAUCUGGCGCAAGCCCGAGUUGUAAUUUGCAGAGGAUGCUUCAGGGCUGCGGCCGGUCUAAGUUCCUUGGAACAGGACGUCAUAGAGGGUGAGAAUCCCGUAUGCGACCGGCCCCCGCGUCCUAUACGUAGCUCCUUCGACGAGUCGAGUUGUUUGGGAAUGCAGCUCUAAAUGGGAGGUAAAUUUCUUCUAAAGCUAAAUACCGGCCAGUGACCGAUAGCGCACAAGUAGAGUGAUCGAAAGAUGAAAAGCACUUUGGAAAGAGAGUUAAAAAGCACGUGAAAUUGUUGAAAGGGAAGCGCUCACAACCAGACUUCGUAGCGGUGUUCCGCCGGUCUUCUGACCGGUCUACUCAUCGUCGCGAGGCCAACAUCGUCUGGGCCCGCCGGAUAAGACCUGAGGAAUGUAGCUUUCCCUCGGGAAAGUGUUAUAGCCUGGGGUGAUACGGCGCGGCUCGGGCGAGGUCCGCACUUCGGUAAGGAUGUUGGCGUAAUGGUUGUCAGCGGCCCGUCUUGAAACACGGACCAAGGAGUCUAACAUCUAUGCGAGUGUUCGGGUGUCAAACCCCUACGCGUAAUGAAAGUGAACGGAGGUGAGAACCGCAAGGUGCAUCAUCGACCGAUCCUGAUGUCCUCGGAUGGAUUUGAGUAAGAGCAUAGCUGUUGGGACCCGAAAGAUGGUGAACUAUGCCUGAAUAGGGUGAAGCCAGAGGAAACUCUGGUGGAGGCUCGCAGCGGUUCUGACGUGCAAAUCGAUCGUCAAAUUU
rnacentral:rRNA from 1 species